UUUAAACACCGCCUCGCGUACGAACGCCGAAGUUAAGCAAUGUCGAGCCUGGUCAGUACCUAAAUGGAUGACCGCUUGACAAUACUAGGUACUGUAAG